rnacentral:rRNA from 1 species
GGAGUUUGGGCCGUGUCUCAGUCCCAAUGUGGCCGUCCGCCCUCUCAGGCCGGCUACAGAUCGUCGCUUUGGUAGGCCGUUACCCUGCCAACUGGCUAAUCUGACGCGGGCCCAUCUCAUACCACCGGAGUUUUUCACACUGAGUCAUGCGACUCUGUGCGCUUAUGCGGUAUUAACAGUCGUUUCCAGCUGUUAUCCCCCAGUAUGAGGCAGGUUGCCCACGCGUUACUCACCCGUCCGCCACUAAGAUUUAACAAGAUUCUGCCGAAGCUUCAUCAGCGUUAAAUCUCCGUUCGACUUGCAUGUGUUAGGCACGCCGCCAGCGUUCAUC